GAGUUUGAUCAUGGCUCAGAUUGAACGCUGGCGGCAUGCCUUACACAUGCAAGUCGAACGGCAGCACGGGAGCUUGGCUCCUGGUGGCGAGUGGCGAACGGGUGAGUAAUGCAUCGGAACGUAUCCUGGAGUGGGGGAUAACGUAGCGAAAGUUACGCUAAUACCGCAUAUUCUGUGAGCAGGAAAGCGGGGGACCUUCGGGCCUCGCGCUCUUGGAGCGGCCGAUGUCGGAUUAGCUAGUUGGUGAGGUAAAGGCUCACCAAGGCGACGAUCCGUAGCAGGUCUGAGAGGAUGAUCUGCCACACUGGAACUGAGACACGGUCCAGACUCCUACGGGAGGCAGCAGUGGGAAUUUUGGACAAUGGGGGCAACCCUGAUCCAGCCAUGCCGCGUGAGUGAAGAAGGCCUCGGUUGUAA
rnacentral:rRNA from 1 species